rnacentral:RNase_P_RNA from 1 species
AAAGACAGGCGGAUAGCUGCUUUAAAUUUUAUGUUUGAAGAGGAAAGUCCGGGCUCCAUGAAUGUAUGAUGCCGGAUAACGUCCGGCGAGGGAAACCUUAGGGAAAGUGCCACAGAAAAAAUACCGCUAUUAUUAGUAAGGGUGAAAAGGUGUGGUAAGAGCACACCGCGUUUUUAGUAAUAAAAACGGCAGGGUAAACCCCAUCAGGAGCAAAACCACAUAGGGAUGUUUGGUUGUAAAACCUAGUGUACAUUCACACUUUCAUCCGGGUAGGUUGCUUGAGGUUGUUAGUAAUAACAAUCCUAGAUGAAUAGCUAUCUUAGAAGAAUUUUUUCUUUUAAACAGAACCCGGCUUAUAGCCUGUCUUUACUU